GGUAAUUAUGACAUGUUAGGGUUUACUUCAUUAAAUAAAGUUAGUUUGGGGGCUUUUACGUUAAAUACUUAGGUUGGAGGAUUUUACUCAAAACAAACAUAGUUGAUGGGUUUUAACGUUAAAAAUCCUCCACAUAAUAGUUAAUAACAGCAAGUGAUUAGAAUUUUUUUCAACUAUAACUUUUUUUUUCUUUUUAAAACACUAAAUCUAUUUAACUUUUUUUUAUAGGGCUAAUGGUAAUCUUUCAACUUAUAUUUAUACUAUUAAAUGAGAAAAAGUCUUAAAAAUCUACUUAAAUAAGGUUGUUUGACCCAUUAAUUAGCUAAUUAUUUUUUGGUCUUACCUAAUACCCCUAGACUAUAUUUGCGAAGUGAUUUUGCCACAUGUCCUCUCUACAAUCAAUUUUACAAAACAAAUAUGACAUGGCUACUGAAAUUGAUGACAUGGCUUCUGGAAAAAUAUGACAUGGAGAA
rnacentral:lncRNA from 1 species